UGGGAACGGCAUUGGAGACUGCACGACUAGAGUGCGUCAGAGGGGGGGUAGAAUUCCGCGUGUAGCAGUGAAAUGCGUAGAGAUGCGGAGGAAUACCGAUGGCGAAGGCAGCCCCCUGGGAUGACACUGACGCUCAUGCACGAAAGCGUGGGGAGCAAACAGGAUUAGAUACCCUGGUAGUCCACGCCCUAAACGAUGUCAACUAGCUGUUGGGGGUUUGAAUCCUUGGUAGCGUAGCUAACGCGAGAAGUUGACCGCCUGGGGAGUACGGCCGCAAGGUUAAAACUCAAAGGAAUUGACGGGGACCCGCACAAGCGGUGGAUGAUGUGGAUUAAUUCGAUGCAACGCGAAAAACCUUACCUGGUCUUGACAUGUAACGAACGCCGCAGAGAUGUGGCGGUGCCCGAAAGGGAGCGUUAACACAGGUGCUGCAUGGCUGUCGUCAGCUCGUG
rnacentral:rRNA from 1 species